ACGACCAGGGCUACACACGUGCUACAAUGGUCGGUACAAAGGGUUGCUACCUCGCGAGAGGAUGCUAAUCUCAAAAAGCCGAUCGUAGUCCGGAUUGGAGUCUGCAACUCGACUCCAUGAAGUCGGAAUCGCUAGUAAUCGCGGAUCAGAAUGCCGCGGUGAAUACGUUCCCGGGCCUUGUACACACCGCCCGUCACACCAUGGGAGUUUGUUGCUCCAGAAGUAGCUAGCCUACCUGCAAAGAGGGC
rnacentral:rRNA from 1 species